GCCGGUGUAGCUCAACUGGUAGAGCGGCGCUCUUGUAAGGCGACGGUUGGAGGUUCGAGUCCUCUCACCGGCU
rnacentral:tRNA from 1 species